rnacentral:rRNA from 1 species
GACGAACGCUGGCGGCGUGCUUAACACAUGCAAGUCGAACGGAAAGGCCCUGCAUUUGUGGGGUGCUCGAGUGGCGAACGGGUUAUUAACACGUGUGUAACCUGCCCUUGACUAUGGGAUAACAUUAGGAAACAGGGGCUAAUACCGGAUAGGAGCUCCUGGUGCAAGGAGGGGGCGGGAAAGUUGCGGCGGGUGGGGAUGGUCUCGCGGCAUAUCGGCUUGUUGUUGGGGUAGUGGCAUACCAAGGCUUUGACGGGUAGCCGGCCUGAGAGGGUGACCGGCCACAUCAGGACUGAGAUGCGGCCCAGACUCCUACCGGACGCAGCGGUGGAGAAGAUUGCACUAUGCGCGGAAGCCUGCUCCAGCAACGCCGCGUGGGGGGUGACGUGCUUCGGGUUGUGUUCCGAUUCCGUCUGAGCUGGGGAGUUAGUGACGGUAAUGGGUGAAGAAGCCCCGGCUAACUACGUG